UGAAAAUAUUGCAGUCAGAGAUUGACGGUUUGUCUGAGAAAUCUAACAGUUCUGAUAAAAGCCAGCGAUACAGGGACCUUGAAAAAGAAAACGAGAAGCUGCGAUCUGAAAAGAAAAGAUUGCAAAAGGAAAGCGGAGCAACGAUACUUAAACUAAGGAAAAAUCUUCAGGCAGCGAAAAAAGAACCAGGGAAAUCGGAUCAGGGAAAAGAGACAAAUAAAGACAAAGGUCCCCCAAUUUCUGCCAAACGCCCACAAACUGAAAGGAAAGCCGAAAAAAAUAAUUGUACGCAAUCUACAUGUUCCAGGAAUUCCGCACAGAAACACAGACCAAAGACUGGAUCGGAAAUAAAGGUCACAGGGUCACCUUAGUAUGAAUAGUUCUCAG